GACGAACGCUGGCGGCGUGCUUAACACAUGCAAGUCGAACGGAAAGGCCCUGCUUGCAGGGUACUCGAGUGGCGAACGGGUGAGUAACACGUGGGUGAUCUGCCCUGCACUUCGGGAUAAGCCUGGGAAACUGGGUCUAAUACCGGAUAGGAGCCAUUUUUAGUGUGAUGGUUGGAAAGUUUUUUCGGUGUAGGAUGAGCUCGCGGCCUAUCAGCUUGUUGGUGGGGUAAUGGCCUACCAAGGCGGCGACGGGUAGCCGGCCUGAGAGGGUGGACGGCCACAUUGGGACUGAGAUACGGCCCAGACUCCUACGGGAGGCAGCAGUGGGGAAGAUUGCACAAUGGGCGCAAGCCGGAUGCAGCGACGCCGCGUGGGGGAUGACGGCCUUCGGGUUGAAAACUCCUUUCGCUAGGGACGAAGCUUUUUGUGACGGUACCUAGAUAAGAAGCACCGGCUAACUACGUG
rnacentral:rRNA from 1 species